rnacentral:rRNA from 1 species
UACGUAGGGUGCAAGCGUUGUCCGGAAUUAUUGGGCGUAAAGAGCUCGUAGGCGGUUUGUCGCGUUGUUCGUGAAAACUCACAGCUCAACUGUGGGCGUGCGGGCGAUACGGGCAGACUGGAGUACUGCAGGGGAGACUGGAAUUCCCGGUGUAGCGGUGAAAUGCGCAGAUAUCGGGAGGAACACCAAUGGCGAAGGCAGCUUGCUGGGACGGUACUGACGCUGAGGCGCGAAGGCCAGGGGAGCAAACGGG